UACGAGGGGGGCAAGCGUUGUUCGGAUUUAUUGGGCGUAAAGGGUGCGUAGGCGGUUUGGCAAGUCUUGUGUGAAAUCUUUGGGCUCAACUGGGAGGGGGCCAUCCAGACGGCGUGGCUUGAGGCUCGGAGGGGGGGCGUGGAAUUCCGGGCGGAGCGGUGAAAUGCGUAGAGAUCCGGAGGAACACCGACGGCGAAGGCAGCGCCCUGGACGAGACCUGACGCUCAGGCACGAAAGCUGGGGGAGCAAACAGG
rnacentral:rRNA from 1 species